rnacentral:tRNA from 13 species
GUUAAGGUGGCAGAGCCCGGUAAUUGCAAAAGACCUAAGCCCUUUCAACAGAGGUUCAAGUCCUCUCCUCAACU